rnacentral:rRNA from 1 species
GUAGUUAUAUGCUUGUCUUGAAGAUUAAGCCAUGCAAGUGCUAGUACAAACCGAUAUACUGGUGCAACUGCAGAAGGCUCAUUAAAACAGUUAUAGUUUAUUUGAUGGUGAAAGACUACAUGGAUAACUGUGGUAAUUCUAGAGCUAAUACAUGCAUAAAAUCUCGUGGGCAACCAUGGGAUGUAUUUAUUAGAAAUCUAAACCAAAAUCGGGGGCAACCUCGAUACAAAAUGGUGAAUCAUAAUAACUUAUCGGACCGCUAAGGAGCAAUCCGGUAGGUCAUUCAAAUUUCUGCCCUAUCAGCUGUCGAUUGUAGUGUAGUGGACUACAAUGGCUUUAACGGGUGACGGAGAAUUAGGGUUCGAUUCCGGAGAGGGAGCCUGAGAAAUGGCUACCACAUCUAAGGAAGGCAGCAGGCGCGCAAAUUACCCAAUUCUCAUCGAGAGAGGUAGUGAAGAUAAAUAACGAUACCGGUCCUUAACAAGGUCUGGUAAUUGGAAUGAGAACAAUUUAAAUCCUUUAUCGAGGAUCCAUUGGAGGGCAAGUCUGGUGCCAGCAGCCGCGGUAACACCAGCUCCAAUAGCGUAUAUUAAAGUUGUUGCAGUUAAAAAGCUCGUAGUUGGAUAUCUGAUAUGGAGGCCUGGCCCCGUCUCUUUCGGGAGAUGAGUGUGCCGGAAUUAGCCAUCAUAUCAUCCUUCUGGAUUUUUUUUGAUGUCCUUAACUGGAUGUUGAAAGGGAUCUGGAUCAAUUACUUUGAAAAAAUUAGAGUGUUCAAAGCAGGCGUGUUUGCUUGAAUACAUUAGCAUGGAAUAAUAAAAUAGGACUUGGGUCUUAAUUUGUUGGUUUGUAGGACCGAAGUAAUGAUUGAUAGGGUCAAUUGGGGGUGCUUGUAUUGAGUGGCCAGAGGUGAAAUUCUUGGAUUCACUCAAGACAAACUUAUGCGAAAGCAUUCACCAAGGGUGUCUUCUUUAAUCAAGAACGAAAGUUGGGGGAUCGAAGACGAUCAGAUACCGUCGUAGUCUCAACCAUAAACGAUGCCGACUAAGGAUCAGUGGACGUUGAUAUAAAGACUCCAUUGGCACUUUACGAGAAAUCAAAGUUUUUGGGUUCCGGGGGUAGUAUGGCUCGCAAGGCUGAAACUUAAAGGAAUUGACGGAAGGGCACCACAACGGCGUGGAGCCUGCGGCUUAAUUUGACACAACACGGGAAAACUUACCAGGUCCGGACAUAGGCAGGAUUGUCAGAUUGCAGUUCUUUCUUGAUUCUAUGGAUGGUGGUGCAUGGCCGUUCUUAGUUGGUGGAGUGAUUUGUCUGGUUAAUUCCGAUAACGAACGAGACCUCAGCCUGCUAAAUAGUCACGUUAAUCUUAGGAUUAAACG